GAUGAACGCUAGCUACAGGCUUAACACAUGCAAGUCGAGGGGCAGCAUGAACUUAGCUUGCUAAGUUUGAUGGCGACCGGCGCACGGGUGAGUAACACGUAUCCAACCUGCCGAUGACUCGGGGAUAGCCUUUCGAAAGAAAGAUUAAUACCCGAUGGCAUAGUUCUUCCGCAUGGUGGAACUAUUAAAGAAUUUCGGUCAUCGAUGGGGAUGCGUUCCAUUAGGUAGUAGGCGGGGUAACGGCCCACCUAGCCAACGAUGGAUAGGGGUUCUGAGAGGAAGGUCCCCCCACAUUGGAACUGAGACACGGUCCAAACUCCUACGGGAGGCAGCAGUGAGGAAUAUUGGUCAAUGGACGAGAGUCUGAACCAGCCAAGUAGCGUGAAGGAUGAAGGUCCUACGGAUUGUAAACUUCUUUUAUAAGGGAAUAAACCCUCCCACGUGUGGGAGCUUGUAUGUACCUUAUGAAUAAGCAUCGGCUAACUCCGUGCCAGCA
rnacentral:rRNA from 1 species